rnacentral:rRNA from 1 species
UUGAAAAACCGUGUGGCAAUGGGAAGACGUGAUGCGGAGCGAAAUAAAGUAGCGAAGUCCGUGAGCUGUGCGUCAAGAAAAGCCGCUAUUGUUCAUACCAUACCCGUACCGUAAACCGACACAGGUGGAUGAGGAGAGAAUCCUAAGGCCGGCGGAAGAAGCAUUGUCAAGGAACUCGGCAAAAUGACCCCGUAACUUCGGGAGAAGGGGUGCCUGUGAAAACAGGCAGCAGAGAAUAGGCUCAAGCAACUGUUUAGCAAAAACACAGGUCUAUGCGAAACCGAAAGGUGAGGUAUAUGGGCUGACGCCUGCCCGGUGCUGGAAGGUUAAGAGGAGAGGUUAGCGCAAGCGAAGCUUUGAAUUUAAGCCCCAGUAAACGGCGGCCGUAACAAUAACGGUCCUAAGGUAGCGAAAUUCCUUGUCGGGUAAGUUCCGACCCGCACGAAAGGCGUAAUGAUUUGAGCGCUGUCUCGACAAUGCAUCCGGUGAAAUUGAAGUACCAGUGAAGAUGCUGGUUACCUGCGCCAGGACGGAAAGACCCCAUGGAGCUUUACUCCAGUUUGGUACUGGGAUCCGGUACUGCAUGUACAGGAUAGGUGGGAGGCUAUGAAGCGGUAACGCCAGUUGCCGCAGAGCCGCUGUUGGGAUACCACCCUUGCAGUAUUGGGUUUCUAACCAGCCGCCGUGAACCGGCGGUGGGACAAUGCCAGACGGGGAGUUUGACUGGGGCGGUCGCCUCCGAAAGGGUAUCGGAGGCGCCCAAAGGUUCCCUCAGAAUGGACGGAAACCAUUCGAAGAGUGCAAAGGCAGAAGGGAGCUUGACUGCGACACCGACGGGUGGAGCAGGUACGAAAGUAGGGCUUAGUGAUCCGGUGGUAUUAAGUGGGAAUGCCAUCGCUCAACGGAUAAAAGCUACCUGGGAUAACAGGCUUAUCACUCCCAAGAGUUCACAUCGACGGAGUGGUUUGGCACCUCGAUGUCGGCUCAUCGCAUCCUGGGGCUGUAGUAGUCCCAAGGGUUGGGCUGUUCGCCCAUUAAAGCGGUACGCGAGCUGGGUUCAGAACGUCGUGAGACAGUUCGGUCCCUAUCCGGCGUGGGCGUAGGAUAUCUGAGAGGAGCUGUCCUUAGUACGAGAGGACCGGGAUGGACGGACCGCUGGUGUACCGGUUAGACUGCCAAGUCUACGGCCGGGUAGCCAAGUCCGGAAGGGAUAAACGCUGAAGGCAUCUAAGCGUGAAGCCCCCCUCGAGAUGAGAUAUCCCAUCCGAAAGGAGUAAACCCCCUUGAAGACGACGAGGUUGAUAGGGCAGGGGUGGAAGCACAGUAAUGUGUGGAGCUGACUGCUACUAAUAGGGUGAGGGCUUGACC